ensembl:snRNA U6 U6 spliceosomal RNA
GUGCUUGCUUUGGCAGUACAUACACUAAAAUUGGAAUGACACAGAGAAGAUCAGUAUGGCCCCUGUACAAGCAUGACACCUAAAAUCAUGAAGUAUUCAAUAUUUGG